AUUGAACGCUGGCGGCAGGCCUAACACAUGCAAGUCGAGCGGAGCGGGGGAGGCGUGAGUAUUGCAUAGGACUCUGCCUGUUCGUGAGGGAUAGCGUCCGGAAACGGGCGCUAAUACCGCAUCCUCUCAGAUGAGCAUAGGUCGGAUUAGCUAGUUGGUGGGGUAAAGGCAUACCAAGGCGACGAUCCGUAACUGGUCUGAGAGGAUGAUCAGUCACACUGGAACUGAGACACUGUCCAGACUCCUACGGGAGGCAGCAGUGGGGAAUAUUGGACAAUGGGCGAAAGCCUGAUGCAGCCAUGCCGCGUGUGUGAAGAAGGUCUUCGGGUUUUAAAGUACUUUAAGUUGGGAGGCGUUACCAACAGAAUAAGCACCGGCUAACUGCGUGCCAGCAGCCGCGGUAAUAC
rnacentral:rRNA from 1 species